UUCCCCUAGUAACUGCGAGUGAAGCGGGAAAAGCUCAAAUUUAAAAUCUGUUGGUCUUUGGCCAUCCGAGUUGUAAUUUAGAGAAGCGUUUUCCGCGCUGGACCGUGCACAAGUCUCCUGGAAUGGAGCGUCAUAGAGGGUGAGAAUCCCGUCUUUGGCACGGACGCACCAGGGCUUUUGUGAUGCGCUCUCGAAGAGUCGAGUUGUUUGGGAAUGCAGCUCAAAAUGGGUGGUGAACUCCAUCUAAAGCUAAAUAUUGGCGAGAGACCGAUAGCGAACAAGUACCGUGAGGGAAAGAUGAAAAGCACUUUGGAAAGAGAGUGAAACAGUACGUGAAAUUGUUGAAAGGGAAACGCUUGAAGUCAGUCGCGUCGGCCGAGACUCAGCCUUGCCUUGGCUUGGUGUACUUCUCGGCUGACGGGUCAGCAUCAAUUUUGCCCCUUGGAUAAUGGCGAGGGAAAUGUGACACCUUUAUGGUGUGUUAUAGUCCCUUGUCGCAUGCAAGGGUUGGGAUUGAGGAACUCAGCACGCACCUUUGGGUGUCGGGGCUUUGCCCACGAUACGUGCUUAGGAUGUUGGCGUAAUGGCUUUAAACGACCCGUCUUGAAACACGGACCAAGGAGUCUAACAUGCCUGCGAGUGUUCGGGUGGAAAACCCGUGCGCGCAAUGAAAGUGAAAGUUGGGACCUCUGUCGUGGAGGGCACCGACGCCCGGACCAGACCUUCUGUGACGGCUCUGCGGUAAAGCAUGUAUGUUAGGACCCGAAAGAUGGUGAACUAUGCCUGAAUAGGGUGAAGCCAGAGGAAACUCUGGUGGAGGCUCGUAGCGAUUCUGACGUGC
rnacentral:rRNA from 1 species